CAGCAGCCGCGGGAAUACGGAGGAUCCAAGCGUUAUCCGGAUUUAUUGGGUUUAAAGGGUGCGUAGGCGGCCUGUUAAGUCAGGGGUGAAAGACGGUAGCUUAACUAUCGCAGUGCCCUUGAUACUGACGGGCUUGAAUGGACUAGAGGUAGGCGGAAUGUGACAAGUAGCGGUGAAAUGCAUAGAUAUGUCACAGAACACCAAUUGCGAAGGCAGCUUACUAUGGUCAGAUUGACGCUGAGGCACGAAAGCGUGGGGAUCAAACAGGAUUAGAUACCCCAGUAGUCCCUGUCUCUUAUAC
rnacentral:rRNA from 1 species